AGCCUCACCUGGCUGAGAGUGAGGUUUGUUUGAGCCCCAUUGUCAUAGCAACAAGGGAAUGUUUGUUAACAGAGCCAGUGACUUCACAGAAGCUGGUCUUAAUUCCACAUUUCUGAAGCUCAGGGAAGAGCAGAGCCAGCCAGGAGAGAAUGUGGAGGCAGAGGAAGACAAUAGUUCCCUUGGAAGAGCUGUGACUACUAGAAAAGUAUGUCCUGCUCAGGGAAGAGCAGAGCCAGCCAGGAGAAAAUGUGGAGGCAGAGGAAGACAAUAGUUCCCUUGGAAGAGCUGUGACUACUAGAAAAGUACUGUCCUGGUGAGUGUACUCUUUUUGUGACUUCUAGAAAAGUACUGUCCUGGUGAGUAUACUCUUUAUCUCUCAUCCAAAAUUUUGGGGGAGGGAGCAAGAGGGGAGGUCUGCUGGGGAAAUGGACCCACUGAGCCUCCACUCAGAUUUUUGCUGCUUGUAAAGAAAAAGACUGCCCCAAGUCCUAGUGGUGUGGGAGGAGGUGGAGGGUAGUGACUAGCCCAAGGUCACACAGAGUGUCACGUUAUUCAAAUACAGGAAAAUCUUGAUACUGUAAAUUUAAAUCUAUAUCCAAUGACUCCAAAAAUUAGAUUUUAUAAGAUUUAAUAAUAAUUACUUGAAGCAGAAGGAAUAAAAGGACAAAAGUAAAAGUCUAAGUACA
rnacentral:lncRNA from 1 species